rnacentral:rRNA from 2 species
AGAGUUUGAUCCUGGCUCAGAUUGAACGCUGGCGGCAGGCCUAACACAUGCAAGUCGAGCGGAUGAGUGGAGCUUGCUCCAUGAUUCAGCGGCGGACGGGUGAGUAAUGCCUAGGAAUCUGCCUGGUAGUGGGGGACAACGUUUCGAAAGGAACGCUAAUACCGCAUACGUCCUACGGGAGAAAGCAGGGGACCUUCGGGCCUUGCGCUAUCAGAUGAGCCUAGGUCGGAUUAGCUAGUUGGUGAGGUAAAGGCUCACCAAGGCGACGAUCCGUAACUGGUCUGAGAGGAUGAUCAGUCACACUGGAACUGAGACACGGUCCAGACUCCUACGGGAGGCAGCAGUGGGGAAUAUUGGACAAUGGGCGAAAGCCUGAUCCAGCCAUGCCGCGUGUGUGAAGAAGGUCUUCGGAUUGUAAAGCACUUUAAGUUGGGAGGAAGGGCAGUAAGUUAAUACCUUGCUGUUUUGACGUUACCGGCAGAAUAAGCACCGGCUAACUUCGUGCCAGCAGCCGCGGUAAUACGAAGGGUGCAAGCGUUAAUCGGAAUUACUGGGCGUAAAGCGCGCGUAGGUGGUUCGUUAAGUUGGAUGUGAAAGCCCCGGGCUCAACCUGGGAACUGCAUCCAAAACUGGCGAGCUAGAGUAUGGCAGAGGGUGGUGGAAUUUCCUGUGUAGCGGUGAAAUGCGUAGAUAUAGGAAGGAACACCAGUGGCGAAGGCGACCACCUGGGCUAAUACUGACACUGAGGUGCGAAAGCGUGGGG